GCAGGAGGCUGGUAGGUGUCCUGAGAUGGCUCCAGGAGCAGUUGGCCAUGAGCAGCUUAGAAACGCGGAUUAAACACUCACUGCAGCUGCUGCCAGAGGGGAGAAGGUGAGCAGGAUUCAGGCAGGAAGAGAUAAGGAUUAAACCGAGAAGUCUCCACUAAGGAUAGAGAGGUGUCAAUCAUGCUCAGUUGAAACCAAGGCUCAGGCCCCUUCUACACUGGGCUCUGGAAUCAGAAGUGCCUGCAAGAAGCUGUGUGAAGGUGUCAACCACAAAUCCCAGCAGGCUCAUUAAAGUAUCUGCAUGUUCAGGGCACCUUGUUAGGAAGAUUCAUUGGCUGCUGACCUCACUGAUACCUUUACCCAGAGAGGUAAAUGAUCUCACAGAGGAGCCUGGGCCCUAGCUGUUUCAGUCUUUAUCCUCAGGACACAUGGGCAUGCAUCCAAGCCAGCCAGGGCCCUCCCAGGGUCUGAAUAUGGACAGCUGGGGAUCUGGAAACAAGAUUUUCCUUCUUCUACCUUCCUUUCUUUUAGGUUUACUCCAUGAAA